GGACAACCCGCCGAAAGGCGGGCUAAACCCGCGUACAUGCCACCGGGGCAUCCCGGAGGCAGGAAAGGCUUCGGCCGGACAGGGAUGGGCAUGCGGCGCAUUAGGCAGUAGGCGGGGUAACGGCCCACCUAACCGACGAUGCGUAGGGGUUCUGAGAGGAAGGUCCCCCACACUGGUACUGAGACACGGACCAGACUCCUACGGGAGGCAGCAGUGAGGAAUAUUGGUCAAUGGUCGGGAGACUGAACCAGCCAAGCCGCGUGAGGGAGGAAGGUACAGAGUAUCGUAAACCUCUUUUGUCAGGGAACAAAGACUGGGACGCGUCCCCGGAUGAGUGUACCUGAAGAAAAAGCAUCGGCUAACUCCGUGCCAGCAGCCGCGGUAAUACGGAGGAUGCGAGCGUUAUCCGGAUUUAUUGGGUUUAAAGGGUGCGCAGGCGGUCUGUUAAGUCAGCGGUCAAAGCCCGGGGCUCAACCCCGGCCCGCCGUUGAAACUGGCAGUCUCGAGUUGGAGAGAAGUAUGCGGAAUGCGCGGUGUAGCGGUGAAAUGCAUAGAUAUCGCGCAGAACUCCGAUUGCGAAGGCAGUAUGCCGGCUCCACACUGACGCUGAGGCACGAAAGCGUGGGUAUCGAACAGGAUUAGAUACCCUGGUAGUCCACGCAGUAAACGAUGAAUGCUGGCUGUCCGGGGGGACUGACCCCUGGGU
rnacentral:rRNA from 1 species